UACAGAGGGUGCAAGCGUUAAUCGGAAUUACUGGGCGUAAAGGCGUGCGUAGACGGUUACAUAAGUCGGGUGUGAAAGCCCCGGGCUCAACCUCGGGAAUUGCAUUCGAGACUGCGUAGCUAGGGUGCGGAAGAGGGAAGCGGAAUUUCCGGUGUAGCGGUGAAAUGCGUAGAUAUCGGAAGGAACACCAGUGGCGAAAGCGGCUUCCUGGUCCAGCACCGACGUCAGGCACGAAAGCGUGGGGAGCAAACAGG
rnacentral:rRNA from 1 species